UACGAAGGGGGCGAGCGUUGUUCGGAUUUACUGGGCGUAAAGGGCGCGCAGGCGGUCUUGAAAGUCAGGCGUGAAAGCCCCGGGCUUAACCUGGGAAUUGCGCUUGAUACUCUGAGACUGGAGUACGGGAGAGGAGAGUGGAAUUCCCGGUGUAGCGGUGAAAUGCGCAGAUAUCGGGAAGAACACCCGUGGCGAAGGCGGCUCUCUGGGACGGUACUGACGCUGAGACGCGAAAGCGUGGGGAGCGAACAGG
rnacentral:rRNA from 1 species